ACACGUAUCCUUUUUAGAACCUAUUUUGAAAACAAAUCAUGAAAUAACUUUAUUUCAAAGAAAGGAAUGAGAUUUGCAUUGGUCUCUUUUCUCAAACUAUAAUCAAAAUGUUUUUAUUUUAUUGUAAACUUUUGAACACAUUGUGAAUCAUGUCUAUCUUUUGUAUGGUGUGUUUUUUAAAGCUAUUGCUUUACACUUUUUCCUUUUUUCAGGCAAAUUAAAACUGAAGUCAAAAGAAACUUUAAAAAGAAAGACUUGUAGUACUAAUACUAAGUAAAGUUUCUAUUUUAUCAAUUAACACAGAUUUUAAUGAAUUAUUGAGAAAUAGUAGGUUAAAUAAGAAUUCAGUGCACUUUAUUAUCUCAGUAUUUAAGAGGCUGUAUAUGUAGAUUAUGCUUAAAAUCUAAAUGUAAUUGUUCAUAUUCUGUCGUAAUGAAAAAACUACUAGUUUUAUGUUUUGAUCUGAAAUUUUAGAAUUUUAAAGUUGGAAGAAAUGUUAGCUGUUCCCCCCCCUGCCCCCUUAAGUUAAUAUCAGUGUGACAUGCAA
rnacentral:lncRNA from 1 species